rnacentral:RNase_P_RNA from 1 species
AGCCGGCCAGACGGCCGCGUGGCAACACGAGGAAAGUCCGAGCACCGCAGGGCACGGGUGCAGGGUAAUACCCUGUGAAGGCGACUUCAAGGAAAGUGCAACAGAAAUAUACCGCAUCUUAUGAUGUAAGGGUGGAAAUGCGAGGUAAGAGCUCACAGACGCUUUGGCGACAACGCGUUCAUGUAAACCCCACUUGGUGCAAGAUAGGACGGCAAAAUGCUGACCCGGCAUCGUCCGACAAAAUCGCUUGAGCCUGGCGGUAACGUCAGGCCUAGACAGAUGGCCGUCAAAUACAGAACUCGGCUUACAGACCGGUCU